rnacentral:rRNA from 1 species
UACGUAGGGGGCAAGCGUUGUCCGGAAUCAUUGGGCGUAAAGCGCGUGUAGGCGGCCUUGUAAGUCCGUUCUGAAAGUCCGAGGCUCAACCUCGGGAGGCGGAUGGAUACUGCAAGGCUCGAGUCCGGAAGAGGCGAGUGGAAUUCCCGGUGUAGCGGUGAAAUGCGCAGAUAUCGGGAGGAACACCAAUGGCGAAGGCAGCUCGCUGGGACGGUACUGACGCUGAGACGCGAAAGCGUGGGGAGCAAACAGG